UUAGUUGCUAAUGUGGCCGAUAUUUUCAAUAUGUUGUGUUAAUAUUGCAUGGGCAUAUGCAAAAAUAAGGCACUUUAGCAGCCAAGAG
rnacentral:pre_miRNA from 1 species